GACGAACGCUGGCGGCGUGCUUAACACAUGCAAGUCGAACGGAAGGGCCCUGCUUUUGUGGGGUGCUCGAGUGGCGAACGGGUGAGUAACACGUGAGUAACCUGCCCUUGACUUUGGGAUAACUUCAGGAAACUGGGGCUAAUACCGGAUAGGAGCUCCUGCUGCAUGGUGGGGGUUGGAAAGUUUCGGCGGUUGGGGGUGGACUCGCGGCUUAUCAGCUUGUUGGUGGGGUAGUGGCUUACCAAGGCUUUGACGGGUAGCCGGCCUGAGAGGGUGACCGGCCACAUUGGGACUGAGAUACGGCCCAGACUCCUACUGGAGGCAGCAGUGGGGAAUAUUGCACAAUGGGCGGAAGCCUGAUGCAGCAACGCCGCGUGCGGGAUGACGGCCUUCGGGUUGUAAACCGCUUUCGCCUGUGACGAAGCGUGAGUGACGGUAAUGGGUAAAGAAGCACCGGCUAACUACGUG
rnacentral:rRNA from 1 species